GCUGGGCAUGGUGGUGGGUGCCUGUAAUCCCAGCUACUUGGGAGGCUGGGGCAGGAGAAUCGCUUGAACCUGGGAGGCGGAGGUGACAGUGAGCUAAGAUUGCACCAUUGCACACUGCACUCCAGCCUAGGUGACAGAGCAAGAUUCUGUCUCAC
ensembl:misc_RNA Metazoa_SRP Metazoan signal recognition particle RNA